UACGUAGGAGGCAAGCGUUGUCCGGAAUUACUGGGCGUAAAGCGCGUGUAGGUGGUGGGACAAGUCUGCUGUGAAAGCGCCUGGCUUAACCGGGCGAGGUCGGCGGAAACUGUCCGACUCGAGGACGGUAGAGGGGGGUGGAAUUCCCGGUGUAGUGGUGAAAUGCGUAGAGACCGGGAGGAACACCUGUGGCGAAGGCGGCCCCCUGGGCCGGCCCCUGACACUGAGACGCGAAGGCGUGGGGAGCGAACGGG
rnacentral:rRNA from 1 species